CCCUCUCUCGCAUCCCUCACCACCAAUUGUCUGGCCUUUACUCCCCCCCCCCCUCCUCCUCCUUCCUCACAUCAGCACCAAUUGCCAGCCAUUUUUCCACCGCUAUCUCUUCCUUCUUCUUUUCUUCGAAUGGUAGCGGAGGUCACAAAUUUACAAGAGAGAGAGUGGAGGGGCGGGUUAGCGGAGGGGGUGUUGCUGUCUAUCUGUCUAACAACCACCAUCAUGGGGCGGAAAACAGAAAUAUGGGGGGGUUAGAGGGGGCUGGGGCAGCAGGGGGUUAUGGGACAGAAAUGGUGGGUGGCGUGGGAGGGGGGUCGGAGUAAACAUAGUGAUGAUUUCCCCUGAGUUUCGUUCCUCCGGACCGAUGAGGAGGGAGAGAGACAGAGAGAGAAAAAGGGGGAGACAGAGAGAGAGAGAGAGAACAGCUGCUGUCUUGUCACCGCCGGCAACCGUAACUGCGGUGACACCUCCUCCUCCUCCUCCUCCUCACAACAAGAGAGAAAAGAGAGAGGGAUGCUGCGAGAAAAUCGAAAUGCUGACACACACACACACACACACAUACACCAAACACCCUCGGCGGGCCUCUCGGACACCUCUCAUCGUCCAAUUAGAGUCCUCACUGAGAGCCGAGGAGAGGAGAGGAAUUCCUGCCUCAGACAUUAAAAUUGUUUCACUGUUGAAACUGUUGUUUGUUUGUCUAAGUAGUGGUUGGUUUUUGUUCAGAUUUUGGACUUCGUAAGAUUUGAGUUUGUGACUACGGCUGUAGAGUAAAAACUACAGCAUCUGUAGUUUCAGCAAAUACCAGAAACGUUGCAUGUCUACGUUCAAGUGGCAGUGCUUAGACUCUUGUCUAAUGAGAAGAUAGGGUGACGUUAUAUUCAGUAAGUCAGGUCGGUGGUGCUUAUUCUCCUAUUGAACGCAGUAAGACACAAAAAGAAGAAGGUGGCGCAAUGUGAUGAUGCAAAUAGUAGAGCGACAGUCAAAGCUGAAGCAUCCUGGUGAUGGAGAGAAUGAUGGAGAGAACAGCUAACAUCACAGCCUCUUGCUUUUGGAAGCGUUUUGAUAACAGCCCUACAUACCGUAGACUGUAAACAUGUAUUGAAUGCUGCUCAGAGAUGAAGAAGAGAGCUUAUGGAGCUUUGAGUCACAUGCUUCUUGUACGUCAUCAUUUAUUGGCUAAAUCUGUUUCCAUUGUGCAUUUUGCUUUUGCAUCAACUUUUCUACCUCAUUCAAGUGUAAAAACUUUCUAUGCAAUUUUUACGACUUUUCUUUUUUCGAAUUUCCAGGAUUUCCGCUCACGUUUUUUUAUGUGCAAAUUGAAAUAGCGCAAAUAAAAGGAUGGAAUGGAAACCAACGUAUAGAGAGCCGAAGUGAAACUGGAACUACCAGGUUCUGUUCCAGAAGAAGGAAAACCUCCAGUGACGUGUGAAACUAUGUUAAUAAGUAAAAAUCCAGCCUUGGAACAGAAGCUUUCUCAACAGUGUGUUGUGUGGUUUCCUUCAUAUGUUUAGAUAAGGGUGGGAGUUUUCUGAAAAACCAUCUAAUGGUUGGUUGUCUGUUCAAUAUUUAUGUGCUUUAAUGGCCUUCAACGAACAUCGUUUCCCAUAAGCACUAGACGUUUGUUUACGGCUCGACAGAGGAGACAAAUCCAGGAGCAAGUGGAGGGUCGCCGUGAGUUCAGACACGUCUGUAAUGACAGCAGGACAGAGAGGAGCGAACACUGUGAGUGACUACAGCUCAAGUCUCAAGAAGCAUGAGAAUGUAUAUAAAUGCCUGACCAGUGCCGCCGCUACGUACAUGUGCAUCACGCGCUGUGCGUAGGGCAUCAAACAGCACCUCCGUAAAGCUGGAAAUAUAUCCACAGAUUCAAACUUUCCAGAUCAAUAACUCAUAAGUGAAACACAAACAAUGCCUCUUUCCUACCGUAGUAAAGCAGACACCUAAACGAGCCGUCCUCCAAGCACCACAAGGUAAUUAUGCUUAGGGCAACCAAAAGGCCAGCAGCAGCCCUGAGCCUGACCAAAGCUUGAGCAGUGAAGUCCAGAACAGAAGGAGGAGCGAGGGAGGGAGACAUGAAGAACGAGAGGAGGGCUGAGAAACCAGAGGAGGAGAAAAAAAAGAUACUAAAAGUAGAAAAAAAAAAAAAGAUCCAUAUUAGAUGGUUUAACCCUGUGAGCUGUAAACAUCCACAGCAGAGAGUAGAAACUAUUUCUACUUGUUUUUCACUGCUGUUUUCUUCCUGACAACUGCGGCGCUAAAGAGCUGAUCAGCCGCGCUGUGUGAUGCUGCAGCCAAUCGAUGAC